CAAAAAGUGGACGUGGCGGCGAUUGUUUUUUUCGGAACUUCAAUGCACUGGCUGGUGACAAUGACGGUGGUGGCGAGUUCCUUCACAAUGGUCCUUUCGCGAUGCAAAGGUUUUGUAUUUCAUUUCUACUCUUUUUAUUUAUACUAUCUAUUCAUUGACUGAUGGAGACUGGGACCGCAAACUGAAUUGCCCUUCAUGGGACU